UACAGAGGGUGCAAGCGUUGUUCGGAAUUAUUGGGCGUAAAGAGCUCGUAGGCGGUUUGUUGCGUCGGCUGUGAAUCCCGAGGCUCAACCUCGGGUCUGCAGUCGAUACGAGCAAACUAGAGUGUUGCAGGGGAGACUGGGAAUUCCUGGUGUAGCGGUGAAAUGCGCAGAUAUCAGGAGGAACACCCGUGGCGAAGGCGGGCUC
rnacentral:rRNA from 1 species